GCCUACAGCCAUACUACCCUGAAUGUGCCUGAUCUUGUCUGAUCUCAGAAGCUAAGCAGGGUCAGGCCUGGUUAGUAUUUGGAUGGGAGAAAUAUGUAAUUGGAAAAUGAGAAGGCAUGCUGUUUGGA
rnacentral:rRNA from 1 species